rnacentral:rRNA from 1 species
GAUGAACGCUAGCGGCAGGCCUAAUACAUGCAAGUCGAACGGGAUCUGAGGGUAGCUUGCUACCCGAUUUGAGAGUGGCGCACGGGUGCGUAACGCGUGAGCAACCUACCCAUAUCAGGGGGAUAGCCCGAAGAAGUUCGGAUUAACACCGCAUAAUAAUACGCUAACACAUGUUAAUGUAUUUAAAUAUUUAUAGGAUAUGGAUGGGCUCGCGUGACAUUAGCUAGUUGGUAAGGUAACGGCUUACCAAGGCGACGAUGUCUAGGGGCUCUGAGAGGAGAAUCCCCCACACUGGUACUGAGACACGGACCAGACUCCUACGGGAGGCAGCAGUAAGGAAUAUUGGUCAAUGGGCGCAAGCCUGAACCAGCCAUGCCGCGUGCAGGAUGACUGCCCUAUGGGUUGUAAACUGCUUUUGUACGGGAAUAACCCUUUCUAUGUAUAGGAAGCUGAAUGUACCGUAAGAAUAAGGAUCGGCUAACUCCGUGCCAGCAGCCGCCGCAG